UCAGUUUGUAACGGUUGCUGUCCUGCUGCUGGAGAACCAGUUUGAACCGGUUUCUGUGUGUGUGAGUCUACUGAGUACUGGCUGGAAAGAAGAUGUCUCUGUACUCAGAGAGGCCUGACUAUUUCUGAGGCCUUGUUUGCUGUUGAUCUUCACUUAAGCAGAUUUAUGGACUAAGGAAGGACUGCUUAAGACGGCUGAUUUCUUGUUUCAGAAGCCUACAGAAAAGCCCCAAAGCAAGGAAGCUAACAGUACAAGUAAGCCAAAAGGAGUCCUGAGUGAAAAGGUGGAAGAGAACUUGAGGCAUUAUCUGCAACAUGGCUUGAAUGGAGAAAGCUGGAACUGUGUACAACUCAGCAGUAUUGAGGGCUGAGGGAUUUCGGAAAUUGUGGUUCAAAAAUGAGUUUUACAGUGUAUGUACACAGAUUGGGGUAGGCUAUACUGAAAUACUGCCAAUUGUUGGAUUUAUGUCCAACAUUUUCAAUAUGAGUGCUAAUGUCCAUCCAUAAGACAGAACUCAAAAACAAUGCUUGUAUUCAUUGAUUUUUUAAUUCCAAACUCUACUAUAAAAAUGUACUAUUCCAUUUUGAUUUUGAUGAAUGAUUUCCUUAAAAACACAAUGACAAAGAAGAAAUGGUUUUAGAUUUGUUUAUUUUUUAAAAAAGAAAUCACAAUUAUUAAAUUUUAAUUUCCAAAUUCUUGGCUUUCACACUCCAAACCUCCAUGAUUCUAUUUGAAAACAUAACACAUCCAAAGAGCUAGAAAUACACUAUACAUGUUUACCAUAUGAUAAACACAACAUACCAUUGGGAUGAUCUAUGAUAUAGUGAUUUUCAUUCCAUGGAUUAAAACCUGAUCAUAUGUAUGUUUAUACAGAUGUACAUCCCUUCAAUGGAGCUGACUGCUAAUUUCAACUGAGUUUAUUUCCAAAUUGUGUGUAUGUGCACAACCAUUUUGUGUACAUAAGCAAACAGAUGCACACACAGAUUUACAGUCCUGGAAAUAAAACAUGCUCAUCUGAUUGGGCUAUUGAGCACAAAUUUCAAAUAUGCCUCAUAGCUUUCACGAGACAAUAUAAGUUAUGUUCCGAGUUAAAACUUUGGUGGUUCAAAAAUGACACAGGGACAUCUUGAGACAUCAGAAACACCUAUAUAUUAAAGUUUAGCAUUCCUCCUGGGUUACAAAAUGCGUAAUAUAAAAAGUAUUGCUACUUAAUAAAAGCAAUUCGCAAUCAUCUUAUUUGUUUUAAAAUGUAAAUAUCCUUAAUGUAUCAAUCAAGACAUACAUUUGUUGCAGAAUUUGUCUAGCUCAGUUUAAAAUUGGUGAUGAAAAAUUGAUUUUUUUAUUUUCCAUAUUACUGUAAUGCAAAAAGGACAAAUUUAAGGAUCCAUGCGUCACUUGGUAGCCUCUAUCUAAUUUAAAAAGGAAAUUGCUAGACAAUUUUGUUUUGUUCCAGAAGUCCAUGCAUACAGAAAUUGCAUUCUGGAUGAUAAUGUGAUUAACUUACAGCCACAUAGUGCUUAGCUAGAUAUUACGCAUUAUCAGAAAAUAAAACAGUUUUAAUCAAACAUGUCACAAUACGGCUGGUUUCAUUGGCAAAUGCUAACCUUGGAAGUGAAAGCAUGAAUUCAGGGAUUUUUUUUUUUGAGAAUAAUUUCAUCUAAUGAAAAUAGUACUAGUAUGUCUUUCUUCUUAGCCAAUAGAAUAAUACAUGUAAUAUUUGGUUUGAUCAAUUACUUGCUACAGGUAAAAUUUAUGGCACUUCAGGAUGUACUGCUUAAGGCAUUUGAAGUAAUAAAGCUUAUUUUUGGAACUUUGUUAUUUAUUUGUUGAAGAAUAAAGUUGUCACAAAAAUGUCAUUUUUUGUAAAUACAAAAAAAAGAGCUGGCAGGACACUUAGGAAGCAUAGAGGUAAAUCAACUAGUCAGAGGCACAUGUCUUCACACAAUUUUAAAAGGCAAUUGUAUUAUGUCAAUUAAUUUUUGUAUUGUACUUCAUCACAAUUCAGUCUCAUUGGCUUUAUUAUCAGAAGAGGGAAAAAGGAAACAGAGGAGGUUGUUAUUGUUAUCACAUGCCUUCAAAUAGCUUCCAACUUAAGGCAAAACUCAGGCAAACCUAUAAAAAAAUUCUUGGCAAAACUUAGUUCAGAGGAACUGAAUCACUGCCUUACUCUGAAGCUAAGAGGGUUGACUUGCUAAAGCCCACUCA